AUUGAACGCUGGCGGCAGGCCUAAUACAUGCAAGUCGAACGAGUGGCGGACUGGUGAGUAUUGUCUGGGAAACUGCCUGAUUGAGGGGGAUAACUCCUGGAAACGGUAUCUAAUACCGCAUACCAUCAGAUGUGCCCAGAUGGGAUUAGCUUGUUGGUGGGGUAACGGCUCACCAAGGCGACGCUCCCUAGCUGGGCUGAGAGGAUGACCAGCCACACUGGGACUGAGACACGGUGCAGACUCCUAGGGGAGGCAGCAGUGGGGAAUAUUGCACAAGGGGCGAAAGCCUGAUGGAGCCAUGCCGCGUGUAUGAAGAAGGCCUUCGGGUUGAAAAGUACUUUCAGCGGGGAGGCGUUACCCGCAGAAGAAGCACCGGCUAACUCCGUGCCAGCAGCCGCGGUAAUUC
rnacentral:rRNA from 1 species